AGAGUUUGAUCAUGGCUCAGGACGAACGCUGGCGGCGUGCCUAAUGCAUGCAAGUCGCACGCAGCCACCUUCGGGUGGCUGAGUGGCGCACGGCUGAGGAACACGUGGGUACCUGCCCUCUCGUGGGGGAUAACCCGGCGAAAGCCGAGCUAAUCCCGCAUACGUUCCACCCACUCGGGUGGAAGAAAGCCUUAUAGCGCGGGAGGAGGGGCCUGCGGCCCAUCAGGUGGUCGGUGGGGUAACGGCCUACCGAGCCGAUGACGGGUAGCUGGUCUGUGAGGACAACCAGCCAGACUGGGACUGAGAAACGGCCCAGACUCCUACGGGAGGCAGCAGCAAGGAAUUUUCCCCAAUGGGCGCAAGCCUGAGGGAGCAACGCCGCGUGGAGGACGACGGCCUUCGGGUUGUAAACUCCUUUUGGGGGCGACGAUGAUGACGGUACCCCCCGAAUAAGCCCCGGCUAACUCUGUGCCAGCAGCCGCGGUAAGACAGAGGGGGCAAGCGUUGUCCGGACUGACUGGGCGUAAAGCGCGCGCAGGCGGUCACGGGCGUCGGUGCUGAAAGCUCGCCGCUUAACGGCGAGUGGCGUGCCGAUACGCCGUGACUGGAGGGCGGGCGAGGGUGGUGGAAUUGCCGGUGUAGUGGUGAAAUGCGUAGAGAUCGGCAGGAACACCAGUGGCGAAGGCGGCCACCUAGCCCGCACCUGACGCUGAGGCGCGACAGCGUGGGGAGCGAACUGGAUUAGAUACCCCAGUAGUCC
rnacentral:rRNA from 1 species